CUGAAAUGUAAAAUCCUUUUUUCUUCUUUUUUUCUGUUCUUACUUAUUAAGGCUUUUUGCUCAAAGAUCUCGGAACCCUUCCAUGAAUUGAAACCCGUAUAAGGUUUGCCAACCCAACAGCCCCAAAAAGAAAACCAAUCCACACUUUCUUUUUCCACAUCCCCCCCUUCGAGAUAUUAAACACUUCCGUUUGUCUCUCUGUUUGUUAAAUGGGAAAAUCACUUCCUUUCACGGCGAAGCUUCAAGAAUUCACCAAAAUUAUCACACCGGCCAGACUCCAAACUCCCAAACGCGACAAACCCAUAUCGCGAAUCCGGGUUUCAUCCCCGGAAACAAGGAAACUCGGGGUUUCCCGACUCGACUCCGAUCGAUUAAAGCAGCAAAGCUUGAUGAAAAGCUUGGAGGGGCAGCAGGACCAAAUCCGGGUGCCGUUGGCCCAGGUGGUCUCGGACUGCGCCAAGCGGUGGUUCCAAGACGCGCUCAAGGAGGCCAAGGCCGGCGAUAGCGCUAUGCAGGUCCUUGUCGGCCAGAUGUACUACAGUGGCUAUGGUGUCCCCAGAGAUCCUCAAAAGGGACGCACUUGGAUUACCAGAGCUUCAAAAAACCGGGUUUUAGUUUGGAAAGUAAGCAACAAACAUCCAGGUUACAAUGCAAGUGACUCGGAUUCAGACGACUCGAAGGGCGAUGAAAAAUAAGGUCAAAUGUGAUUUUCUGUUGAUUGUAUUUGUUGAAGUUUUUCAGUGUUGGCCAAAGUUGGUGAUCAAAUAAUGGGUGUAAUUUGUUAUUAACACUUGUUCAACCCCCCCUCUAAAAUGUGCAUUUGGCUCAAAGCCAUAACCUCAACAUCAGUGGAAACUGAAAAGCUAUUAUUUUGCUGUGGAUCCUGGGCUGUGAUAAGUUCAAAGCAGACGUGGUUUCCUGGACAGUUUAUAGGUUGAUUUUUCAAGCAUUUUCACCCUCCUGCCUUAUUUUUUGUUGCAAUGUCAAAGUUAUUGGGGAUAUUGACGACUGUAUUGAGAUGAUAUGUUGUUGGGAGCGCCAAUUUUGAAUGGUUGUGCUCCGUGUGCAUUUGCAUUGGACAAAUCGACAAGACUGCUUAAAUAAAGAGCCUCUCACGUUGUACCGUAUAUCAACAACUCAUAUAUGGAUUACUUGAAUCGUUGUUUUACCUCAUGGAUGUAAGAAGAUUCUACAUGGUGAUGAUUAUAAGAAUCAGAUUUGUUUUA